rnacentral:rRNA from 1 species
UGGGGAAUCUUCCGCAAUGGACGAAAGUCUGACGGAGCAACGCCGCGUGAGUGAUGACGGCCUUCGGGUUGUAAAGCUCUGUUAAUCGGGACGAAUGGUUCUUGUGCGAAUAGUGCAAGGAUUUGACGGUACCGGAAUAGAAAGCCACGGCUAACUACGUGCCAGCAGCCGCGGUAAUUCGUAGGUGGCAAGCGUUGUCCGGAAUUAUUGGGCGUAAAGCGCGCGCAGGCGGAUUGGUAAGUCUGUCUUAAAAGUUCGGGGCUUAACCCGGAGAUGGGAUGGAAACUGCCAAUCUAGAGUAUCGGAGAGGAAGGUGGAAUUCCUAGUGGAGCGGUGAAAUGCGUAAAUAUUAGGAAGAACACCAGUGGCGAAGGCGACUUUCUGGACGAAAACUGACGCUGAGGCGCGAAAGCCAGGGGAGCGAACGGG